rnacentral:antisense_RNA from 1 species
AUACACAGAGAACCACGUGGAGGAAAAGCACGCGAGUUUGGAGGGGGUGGAGCAGGAACAGAGGUGGACUGGAAUGUCACACGACGGGGCAGCUGGAAGGGCACCACUGAGUUCAGUACUUCAAAAUUGCUGUGCUCUACCUUUCCCCAGUGCACAGAAACACUCUCCACACCAAGCUGCUGCUGCUGGGGGAUGGAGGGAUGGCGUCAGCGAUUCAAGACUGUUUUUCCUACCUGUUCAGCGCUUCUUUCAGCGAUAUGAAGUUAAAUCCAGAGGCUAAGGAUGGAGGAUUGCUUGAGUUCGAGACCAGCCUGGGCAACAUAGUGAGACCCUAUCUCUACACGCACAAAAAGCCAGAUGUGGUGUCGUGUGCCUCUAGCCCCAGAAAGUGUGACUCAUAAGACUGGAAACUCCUGAACGUAGCAAGGAUGUUUGCAGCCAAGCCAACUGACUACAAACAUGAUAAAGUCCAUUACAAGGAUGGAAAAUCCACAGAACAGAAAAUGUGUCUAUUUUUUCACCAGUGACCCUCCAGCACUCAGCUAUGCCUGGAACAAGGUCCAGGUUGGCCAAUCCCCCUGACACAGCCGAGCCCACAUGGCACUCCACAGGCCCUGUGUGUGAGGUCCCCAGGCAGGAGCUGAGAAGAGAGGUCUGGAGGGAGAAGGGACUUGGAACCCUGCAUUGGGAACCUUCUGGCAGCAGGACAGGCCAUUCCUGCAAGGCAGAGUGAGGUGGCUCCACAGGUGUGGACCAGCACGUGUUUCCACGCAGACACGACAAUAUCCUAGGAGGGGGCUGCUGACACUGAUUGCCAUCUGCGUGCCGGGUCUGGUGUAAAAGACACUGCAUGACAACCAGCCCUUUCCACACCAUGCACACGUGAAGAUGGUGCCAAUGAACCCCAGGAAUUCUGCCCAGGAAGCACUGAGAGCCCAGAAGAGAUGACAGGCACAUUCAGUGGGCCUGGGCGAGCCAGGGAAGCUUCUCGAUGGAGGCAGUUCUGAACGGAGUCUGGAGGAAAAAAAAAGGACAGGCACCAUCAGAUGAGAAACAGAGGGCCUGGGGCAAAGGGAUGAGUGGUCUAGGAUGGCUCCAGGAAAAAUCUUGCUGCUCUGGGAAGAUGCCCUGCUGCUCCUUCUGCUCUGCUCUGUGGUGAUUGAUGGCUGUGGGUUCCCGCUGUCCAUAUUUUACCAUAGCAAGAGAAGAAAAGGGAGCGAUGGAUCACCUGGCCACUGCCCUUACCAUUACUUAAGGAGCAGCAUGCGGUGAAGAGAGAAGAAAGAGGACCUUUACCAGAGUCAGCAGGAGCUCCACCUCCACUCCCCUCAACUCAUGGUCUAGACGAAUGAUUGAGUGAGGUGAGGGAGUAGAGGAGAGGGCAUGGAGAGGGGCGGAGAGGCAUGAAAGACACCGAAGGACAAAGGGAAGGGGCAAGAAACAGGGGCAGAAAGAAGCCAUGGGUGAGGAGAAAGCAAAAGGGAGGCAUCCCCUUCUGACCAUGAAGGGUUAACCGCUGUAGAAAUUGCCCAUCUACCUAUCACUUUGGGAGGCCAAGGCGAGCAAUCACCUGAGGUCAGGAGUUCGAGACCAGCCCAGCCAACAUGGCGAAACCCUGUCUCUACUAAAAAUACAAAAAUUAGCCAGGUGUGGUAGUGCUUGCCUGUGAUUCCAGCUACCUGGGAGGCUGAGGCAGAAGGAUCGCAUGAACCCGAGAGGCAGAGGUUGCAGUGAGCUGAGAUUGAGCCACUGUACUCCAGCCUGGGUGACAAGAGUGAGAUUCUGGCUC